rnacentral:misc_RNA from 1 species
GGUAAUUAACCCAGUAUCUCAAG